rnacentral:rRNA from 1 species
UACGGAGGGGGCUAGCGUUGUUCGGAAUUACUGGGCGCAAAGCGCGCGUAGGCGGACCUGCAAGUCGGGGGUGAAAGCCCGAGGCUCAACCUCGGAACUGCCUUCGAUACUGCGGGUCUCGAGUCCGGGAGAGGUGAGUGGAAUUCCUAGUGUAGAGGUGAAAUUCGUAGAUAUUAGGAAGAACACCAGUGGCGAAGGCGGCUCACUGGCCCGGUACUGACGCUGAGGCGCGAAAGCUCGGGGAGCGAACGGG